rfam:Escherichia coli CFT073, complete genome.
CAUUCAUUGAGAAAACUGAUGCUACUGUGUCAACGAUCCGUUAUCAGUGCAGGAAAAUGCCUGUUAGCGUAAAAGCAAAACACAAAUCUAUCCAUGCAAGCAUUCACCGCCGGUUUACUGGCGGUUUUUUUUUCGCCGUCAUAAAAAUCAGGCCCCUUGUACACAACUGUAACAAGGGGCCGGUUAGGUGAGGGAUUAUCUCCGUUCAUUAGUCA